rnacentral:rRNA from 1 species
AUUGAACGCUGGCGGCAUGCCUUACACAUGCAAGUCGAACGGCAGCACGGGGCAACCUGGUGGCGAGUGGCGAACGGGUGAGUAAUGCAUCGGAACGUACCUUUCAGUGGGGGAUAACGUAGCGAAAGUUACGCUAAUACCGCAUAUUCUGUGAGCAGGAAAGCAGGGGAUCGCAAGACCUUGCGCUGAUUGAGCGGCCGAUGUCAGAUUAGCUAGUUGGUGAGGUAAAGGCUCACCAAGGCGGCGAUCUGUAGCGGGUCUGAGAGGAUGAUCCGCCAGACUGGAACUGAGACACGGUCCAGAAUCCUACGGGAGGCAGCAGUGGGGAAUUUUGGACGAUGGGGGCACCCCUGGUCCAGCCAUGCCGCGUGAGUGAAAAAGGCGUUCGGGUUGUAAAGCUCUUUCGGCCGGGAAGAAAUCGCACGGGCUAAUACCCUGUGUGGAUGACGGUACCGGAAUAAGAAGCACCGGCUAACUACGUGCCAGCCGCCGCCGUAACAC